ensembl:lncRNA MSC-AS1 MSC antisense RNA 1
CUCUCUAGUAGGACUCUGGAUAGAUGCCAUUACCCUGAGACCUCAACAUUUAUGAAGAGUUGCAGACCUGGAAGCCAGUCUGCUGGGGUUCAAAUCCAGACUCUGUGGCUUCCUGGGUAAUUUUGAUGGCUCAGCCUCUGGCUAGAUCAGUUGGUGUGAGGAUUAAAUGAACCAAUCCAUGAAAAUAUUUGCAAUACCUGCCACGUCCAAGGUUCAGCUGAGGCCAAUGUAAAGCCAGUAUUAUAGGACACUUCUCAGACUGAGAGCCCAAUGUCGUUGGAAACCACUGGGCCACAGGAAAGGCAGGCUCUCUCAGUCCUGCUCCUGCCAUGGAAGAAGCCUGCUCCCACCAUGCCUUCUGCCACGAGUAAAAGUUCCCUGAGGCCUCCCCAGAAGCAGAUGCUGUCGUGCUUCCUGUAUAGCUGCAGAACUACUUAUAGAUGGGGUCACACACCAUUCUACAAAGAGGG